CACGUAGGGCGCGAGCGUUGUCCGGAAUUAUUGGGCGUAAAGAGCUCGUAGGCGGCCUGUUGCGUCCGCUGUGAAAGCCCGGGGCUUAACCCCGGGUCGGCAGUGGAUACGGGCAGGCUAGAGGUAGGUAGGGGAGAAUGGAAUUCCCGGUGUAGCGGUGAAAUGCGCAGAUAUCGGGAGGAACACCGGUGGCGAAGGCGGUUCUCUGGACAGUUCCUGACGCUGAGGCACGAAGGCCAGGGGAGCAAACGGG
rnacentral:rRNA from 1 species